ACAAUCCUCUUUAUUUUUUAAAAACAGCAGCUGCUUGGCAUUACUCUGUUUGGCUCUCAUUCUGCAAAUCCUCAGGCGACCUCCAGAAGGGGGGCAGGCUGUGAACCUGGAGCCCCCAGGAGACUGGCUGACGAUCACUCCUAAAUUCACCUGUAGACUGCAGGAAUGUUAUCUGAAGCCCAUGAAACCUAGUGAAUUGUACCACCAAAUUAGAAAAUGGAUCUUACCCAGGAUACCACACCAUGUCUCCCUUCAUCAGCGUGUCUGCAGGACCCUCUAGACUAUGACAGUUUCUGUCAUUUUUCUCUGCACUUUCUUCCUUUCUACCAUAAGAACAUGUCCCAGGCUCAUCUUGUAUUUUCCUUUUCCCAAACUUGCAAUCAGCCACUGACCCAUAGAUCCUUGGUUAGUGGAAAAUAUUAAUGAGAAACCAAGUUCUGGGCACCAGGUUUGCUCACUGCAAUUGGAAGUGACUGUUCACUGCUCUCUCCAUGGUAUACAUGGUGAUAUGAUGGAGCUUGUUUAUUCUCCUUUGCAAGACCGGAUUGCUAAGUUUUCAGCAAUCAUAUGAGCUGGUACUUGAAAUAUAGCUAUUAUUCAAUAUUAAUUAUGUAAACUGAUACAUGUGUAUUUUUGAGAUAGAGUCUCACUUUGUCACACUGGGUAGCACUCCUUAGCAUCAUCUUAGAUUAGAACAACUUCCAACUCUUGGGCUUCAGCAAUGCUCUUGCUCCAGUUUCCCAAGUACCUGGGACUACGGGUGCCACAGGCCAGGACACCUGGCUAGUCUGUCUCUUCUUAGUAGAGACAGGGUCUGGCACUUGCUCAGGAUGGUAUUGAACUCCUGAAUUCAAGCAAACUCCCUAUCUUGGCCUCCCAGAUUUCUAGGACGACAGGCCUAAACCACACCAACUGGCCAAUACACGAGGGACAGAUUGUGGCCGGCCAGGCACCCACGGUUUCAGGAUCCCCCUCUGUGGGGGCUGGAUGCCCCUCGACAACAUAACAGUACUGCUGUAGGGGAAGGAGGAGCAAGAUGGCAGCCGAGUAACAGCUUCCUUGCAUCUGGGCACCAUGAG